UACGUAGGGACCAAGCGUUGUCCGGAAUUAUUGGGCGUAAAGAGCUCGUAGGCGGUUUGUUGCGUCGGCUGUGAAAUCCCGAGGCUCAACCUCGGGUCUGCAGUCGAUACGAGCAAACUAGAGUGUUGCAGGGGGAGACUGGAAUUCCUGGUGUAGCGGUGAAAUGCGCAGAUAUCAGGAGGAACACCGGUGGCGAAGGCGGGUCUCUGGGACGGUACUGACGCGUGAGACGCGAAAGCGUGGGGAGCGAACAGG
rnacentral:rRNA from 1 species